UGGGGAAUUUUGGACAAUGGGCGAAAGCCUGAUCCAGCAAUGCCGCGUGUGUGAAGAAGGCCUUCGGGUUGUAAAGCACUUUUGUCCGGAAAGAAAUCCUUGGCUCUAAUACAGUCGGGGGAUGACGGUACCGGAAGAAUAAGCACCGGCUAACUACGUGCCAGCAGCCGCGGUAAUACGUAGGGUGCAAGCGUUAAUCGGAAUUACUGGGCGUAAAGCGUGCGCAGGCGGUUUGCUAAGACCGAUGUGAAAUCCCCGGGCUAACCUGGGAACUGCAUUGGUGACUGGCAGGCUAGAGUAUGGCAGAGGGGGGUAGAAUUCCACGUGUAGCAGUGAAAUGCGUAGAGAUGUGGAGGAAUACCGAUGGCGAAGGCAGCCCCCUGGGCCAAUACUGACGCUCAUGCACGAAAGCGUGGGGAGCAAACAGGAUUAGAUACCCUGGUAGUCCACGCCCUAAACGAUGUCAACUAGUUGUUGGGGGAUUCAUUUCCUUAGUAACGUAGCUAACGCGUGAAGUUGACCGCCUGGGGAGUACGGUCGCAAGAUUAAAACUCAAAGGAAUUGACGGGGUCAUAGCUGUUUCCU
rnacentral:rRNA from 1 species